rnacentral:lncRNA from 1 species
GGCAUUGUCCGCGACGCAGCUCGGGAUCCGGGUCGGGGUGUCGGCCGGGUUGCUGCCGGGCACCGUCGAGCGUUAGCCACCCAGCAUUGAGCUGCCAGCGGCUGUUCUCCCUAAGCACCCUCGCUCACGUCGCCUCGCCUCGCCUCGCCUGACCGGCCGCAGCCUUGGAUACCAGCCUUAAAUCGAGCCGACUACGGCCCAGCCCCGCCCGCGGCGAGGUGCGCGGGGUUCGGUGCCAGCCGCUCGCCCCUGGCGGGGCCAGCCUCUUGAUGCACCGGGGACGGGCGCCCCCAUCCGACUCUUCGAGGGGCGGCAGGGCCCCAUCUGUGUCUUUCGCUCUCGAGCCCCCAGCUAGAGUUGGCUUCAGCGGAAUACCUACUGUGCGGGAUUAUUCAACAAGCCGAUUGAUCACAUUCUUCAGCUCUAGCAGUGCAAAGGCUUCACUGAAAAAGAACAUUACAAAUUUUUUUUGAAAGAAAUUUGGGGGAAUCCACUGAAGACCUACAUUUCCCGGAAGGUUAACAGCCCCCUUCUCAGUUUUCCUGGUAAAGUGUUUUUAUAUUGGUAGAA